rfam:Ixodes scapularis strain Wikel colony gcontig_1107729129230, whole genome shotgun sequence.
ACAACGGCUCUUUUCAGAGCCAAAUAAACAUGCUUAUGGGGGGGA